AUGAAGAACAUGGGCCUACUGGAAGGGGAACUUGACGAGGUCUAUGUGGGAGAAGAGCAGAUUAGGAAGAUCACAAAGGAGGUGGACGACAACUUGUUCAUGAUCCAUGUUUUGAGCCUUGGAGAUUGGAAGCGGGUAAUGUUCCACAAUCCAUGGAUCUUUCGUCGCCUUAUGGUGCUAAGCGAGGAGUUUGAUGGUAAACACGCAUUAGAAUCGAUAAAUUUGCAGAGGCCGUCGGUUUGGGCUCAAAUUCAUAAAAUCCCAAACCUAUACCGGAAGGAACCCAUAGUUGAUCAGUUGGCAAGGAGAAUCGGCAUGGUCCGGAGUGCCGAGCUCAAUCCAACUUGGUACUUUGAAGGGAAUUAUGUGCGUGUGCGGGCAAGCAUAGAUGUCUCAAAGCUGUUAAUUUGUUGGACCCCCAUGAAUCUCGCCGGUUCCGUGGGAGGGGCCGAGGUGGCCAUGGUGCACCUCGGAAGAGAAACUCAAAGGAGACAGGUUUUCGAGGAGAGUGAGGAUGAUUUGGACAUAGUCCAUUGA
rnacentral:rRNA from 1 species